GGAUUGUACAGAUCCAACAUCUUUACUACUUUUUGUACUGCCACUCUGGUGAAGAGGCUGGGGAUGCAUGGGAGCUUGAUCUUAGAAAAAGUAAUGAAGACUUAAAGAAGCAUUUAGAAUUCCUUGGGAACACAAGUGAGAAAUUUAUCUUUCACCUCAUCCCAGAGUAUGUGGAGGAAGCAUCAAGGACACUAUGAUGGCAGAUAAGUGAGAGUAUUGUUAUUCAGUGACUGCUGGUGUUCUUCAGAAAGCUUGCUGCACUAAAG